rnacentral:rRNA from 1 species
GCGGAGGAAAAGAAAAUAACAAUGAUUUCCCUAGUAACGGCGAGUGAAGAGGAAAGAGCUCAAAGUUGGAAACUGUUUGGCUUAGCUAAACCGUAUUGUAAACUGUAGAAACAUUUUCCUGGCACACCAGAUUAAUAAGUCCUUUGGAACAAGGCAUCAUGGAGGGUGAGAAUCCCGUCUUUGAUCUGAGUAGUUGUCUUUUGUGAUAUGUUUUCAAAGAGUCAGGUUGUUUGGGAAUGCAGCCUAAAUUGGGUGGUAAAUCUCACCUAAAGCUAAAUAUUUGCGAGAGACCGAUAGCGAACAAGUACCGUGAGGGAAAGAUGAAAAGAACUUUGAAAAGAGAGUUAAACAGUAUGUGAAAUUGUUAAAAGGGAACGGUAUGAAGCCAGACUGGUUUGACUGUAAUCAACCUAGAAUUCGUUUUGGGUGCACUUGCAGUCUAUACCUGCCAACAACAGUUUGAUUUGGAGGAAAAAAUUAAUAGGAAUGUGGCCUCUCGAGGUGUUAUAGCCUAUUAUCAUACUCUGGAUUGGACUGAGGAACGCAGCGAAUGCCUUUAGGCAAGAUUGCUGGGUGCUUUCGCUAAUAAAUGUUAGAAUCUCUGCUUCGGGUGGUGCUAAUGUUUAAAGGAGGAACUCAUCUAGUAUAUUUUUUAUUCGCUUAGGUUGUUGGCUUAAUGACUUUAUAUCAC